AAGUACUAAGCACCCCUGAGGAAGACAAAACCAGAAUCGGGCCACUAUAUCACAGCAAGAGUAACUCACAUAUGCUCCAGUUUGACCCAUUGUGAGACUCCAUACUAAUCCCUGCCUGCUACGCAAAAGACGUUUCCUCCAUGAUGGAAGUUGAUAGUUGCAGUGAUCUGAGAAUAUAUGCACAAAUGGUUAGGAUCUGAUAGGCACAUAUUUCUGCCUAACAAACAAUAGCAGCCACUUAUCCAAAUGUCAGGAUUUGUCCUCGCAAACAGUUUUAAACAUAGGUUCCCUCUUGUACAAUAGGCCUUUAAAUCUGUUCAGACUAUGAUCGACUGUGCCUCCAACAGUCCGUUCGCUAUUGUAUCAUACCAGCAGGCACAUCUUUCCUGGCAUGUUGUUUGCGUGACACCAGGUCAAUAACCAAGGAGGACUAUCAGUUAAAAAGUUUCCUCUGUGAUCCGUGUAGCAUUUUCUGCUCUACAGAACUUACUCAUA
rnacentral:lncRNA from 1 species